GACGAACGCUGGCGGCGUGCUUAACACAUGCAAGUCGAACGGUGAACCUCUUCGGAGGGGAUCAGUGGCGAACGGGUGAGUAACACGUGGGCAACCUGCCCCCGGCUCUGGGAUAACUCCAAGAAAUUGGGGCUAAUACCGGAUGUUCACCGCUUCCCGCAUGGGUGGUGGUGGAAAGGGUUUCCGGCUGGGGAUGGGCCCGCGGCCUAUCAGCUUGUUGGUGGGGUAGUGGCCUACCAAGGCGACGACGGGUAGCCGGCCUGAGAGGGUGACCGGCCACACUGGGACUGAGACACGGCCCAGACUCCUACGGGAGGCAGCAGUGGGGAAUAUUGCGCAAUGGGCGGAAGCCUGACGCAGCGACGCCGCGUGGGGGAUGAUGGCCUUCGGGUUGUAAACCUCUUUCAGCAGGGACGAAGCGCAAGUGACGGUACCUGCAGAAGAAGCACCGGCCAACUACGUG
rnacentral:rRNA from 1 species